AACGAACGCUGGCGGCAGGCUUAACACAUGCAAGUCGAGCGUCUCGCAAGAGGCGCGGCAGACGGUUGCGUAACGCGUGUGGGAUGUGCCUCUUGGUUCGGAAUAACUCAGGGAAACCUGGGCUAAUACCGGAUAAGUCCGAAAGGAGAAAGAUUUAUCGCCAAGGGAGCAUCCCGCGCCCGAUUAGCUAGUUGGUAGGGUAAUGGCCUACCAAGGCAAUGAUCGGUAGCUGGUCUGAGAGGAUGAUCAGCCACACUGGGACUGAGAUACGGCCCAGACUCCUAUGGGAGGCAGCAGUGGGGAAUAUUGGACAAUGGGCGAAAGCCUGAUCCGGCCAUGCCGCGUGAGUGAUGAAGGCCUUCGGGUCGUAAAGCUCUUUCGCCGGGGAUGAUAAUGACAGUACCCGGAUAAGAAGCCCCGGCUAACUUCGUGCCAGCAGCCGCGGUAA
rnacentral:rRNA from 1 species